rnacentral:rRNA from 1 species
GACGAACGCUGGCGGCGUGCCUAAUACAUGCAAGUAGAACGCACAGUUUAUACCGUAGCUUGCUACACCAUAAACUGUGAGUUGCGAACGGGUGAGUAACGCGUAGGUAACCUGCCUGGUAGCGGGGGAUAACUAUUGGAAACGAUAGCUAAUACCGCAUAAUAUUGAUUAUUGCAUGAUAAUUGAUUGCAAGAUGCUAUUGCAUCCCUACCAGAUGGACCUGCGUUGUAUUAGCUAGUAGGUGAGGUAACGGCUCACCUAGGCGACGAUACAUAGCCGAACGGAGAGGGUGAGCGGCCACCCUGGGAGUGAGACACGGCCCAGACUCCUACGGGAGGGAGCAGUAGGGAAUCUGCGGCAAUGGACGAAAGUCUGACCGAGCAACGCCGAGUGAGUGAAGAAGGUUGUCGGGUCGUAAAGCUCUGUUGUAAGAGAAGAACGGGUGUGAGAGUGGAAAGUUCACACUGUGACGGUAUCUUACCAGAAAGGGACGGCUAACUACGUG